rnacentral:rRNA from 1 species
ACCGGCGGCUCGAGUGGUGGCCACUAUUACUGGGCUUAAAGCGUUCGUAGCUGGCUUGUUAAGUCUCUGGGGAAAUCUUCCGGCUCAACCGGAAGGCGUCUCAGGGAUACUGGCAGGCUAGGGACCGGAAGAGGUGAGAGGUACUCCAGGGGUAGGAGUGAAAUCCUGAGAUCCGAGGGGGACCACCUAUGGCGAAGGCGUCUCACCGGGACAGCACCGACGGUGAGGCACUAAAGCGGGGGGAGCAAACAG